UACGGAAGGGGCAAGCGUUGUUCGGAAUCAUUGGGCGUAAAGGGCGCGUAGGUGGUUCUGUAUGUCUACCGUGAAAGCGCACGGCUCAACCGUAUUUUGUCGGUAGAAACUGCAGGACUUGAGGCUGGGAGGGGCUGGUGGAAUUCCCUGUGUAGCGGUGAAAUGCGUAGAGAUGGGGGAGAACACUCGUGGCGAAGGCGGCCAGCUAGACCAGUUCUGACACUGAGGCGCGACAGCGUGGGGAGCAAACAGG
rnacentral:rRNA from 1 species